rnacentral:rRNA from 1 species
ACAGGAUUCUCUUAGUAACUGCGAGUGAACAGAGAUUAGCCCAACAUCGAAGCUCGCAAGCAUUUUGUUUGUUGAGCAAUGUGAUGUUAAGAUAUUUGCUUUCGUAGACUGGCCAACUUGAAGUCCAAAUUUGAAUGUGGCAUAUGUGUAUAAACCCAUAGAUGGUGAAAGGCCCGUUCAAGUUGGUAAUCAGACAUGACAGUUUGCGUGUAUGCAUUUAUCUUGGAGUCGGAUUGCUUGAGAGUGCAGUCCAAAGUUGGUGGUAAACUCCAUCUAAGGCUAAAUACCUGUACGAGUCCGAUAGUUAACAAGUACCGUGAGGGAAAGUUGAAAAGUACUCUGAAGAGAGAGUAAACAGUACGUGAAACUACAUGGAGGUUAAUCAGAUAGAGUCAAGCUGCUU